rnacentral:rRNA from 1 species
AACGAACGCUGGCGGCAGGCCUAACACAUGCAAGUCGAGCGAGCUUUUCUGCUUCGGUGGGAAAGUUAGCGGCGGACGGGUGAGUAACGCGUGGGAACGUGCCCUUUGCUACGGAACAACAGCUGGAAACGGCUGCUAAUACCGUAUGAUCCCUACGGGGGAAAGAUUUAUCGGCAAAGGAUCGGCCCGCGUUGGAUUGGGUAGUUGGUGAGGUAACGGCUCACCAAGCCGACGAUCCAUAGCUGGUUUGAGAGGAUGAUCAGCCACACUGGGACUGAGACACGGCCCAG